UACGGAGGGUGCGAGCGUUGUCCGGAAUUAUUGGGCGUAAAGAGCUCGUAGGCGGUUUGUCGCGUCUGCCGUGAAAGUCCGGGGCUCAACUCCGGAUCUGCGGUGGGUACGGGCAGACUAGAGUGAUGUAGGGGAGACUGGAAUUCCUGGUGUAGCGGUGAAAUGCGCAGAUAUCAGGAGGAACACCGAUGGCGAAGGCAGGUCUCUGGGCAUUAACUGACGCUGAGGAGCGAAAGCAUGGGGAGCGAACAGG
rnacentral:rRNA from 1 species